ensembl:rRNA 5S_rRNA 5S ribosomal RNA
UGCCACAGCCAUAUCACCCUGCAGCCCAAGACCGGUUACUCACUGAAGCUAAGUAGGCCUGAGCCAGGUCAGUAUCUAGAUAGGAGACCACUAGGGAACACUAGGUUGCUGUUGGAA